AUUAUUAUUAAAUCAUCAUUCAAUAUUUAUGUUUCCAUAAAGCAAAAGCCAAAAUCAGAUCAAGAAGCUCCAUUGCUUCAUUCUCAAAACCAUAGCAAACCUAGAAACCUUUUUGCUAAACAAUCUCAUAACUUCAAACGGUAAAAUCAACAACAAAGAGUAUGCACACAAAGUGUUUGAACAAUAUUCUUAAUCAUCAAAGAUAAAACACAAAUAGAAAACUUAAAGUAAAGUAAGAGAUGGACCUUUAUGGCUGCGUAUUCUUAAUUGUAUACAAUGAAGGAAGCCUCCGAUAAAACAAACCAAAAGCGAGCUAAUGACCUGAACCUCGAACCGGCAACUAAACCUCGAACGGAUAGUGACAACCUCAAACCAACCCAGCUUAAAAAUAUUUUGCGUGUGACGUUUCAAGACGAAUAGCAGGCUAGUUCUAGUGAGGCAGUGAUGGAUGGUUGUAGUCUUCGAUCCCUUCUCAUGUUUCCGUCACUGUAUCCGCUGGAUUUUCGGCGAGCUACUGAUUUUGUAAAGGUGGCUAGAGAUGGGUAAAGGUUGGUCUGUUUUCAAAUUUCCGGCGAUGGCGAGGGGUUACCAGGUCUAUUCAAACGCUGAAAAAGGUGAUGCUCAUACUGGGGCAUUUUUUUAUUAAAGAAGAAUCGGUCUUCAGGUCUAGGGAGGGGAUGGUCAUUCGUUUGGCUCAAGAAGAAAUAGAAUCCUGGAGGGGUUUGUAGUGUCUGUGGUUGAUGUAGGUUGCUGCUUGGUGGGAGAAGCAGCGUUGAAAUCUAGAGAUGGGGUGGGGUAAAGAAGAUGAAAAUCAAGAGGGGUGGGUGGUCUUGUGUAUUGCGAGCACUCCCUAGUCUUCUCCCC
rnacentral:lncRNA from 1 species